UUUUACUUUUUAGUGUGUCAAGAAGUCUGACAUAAUAAUUGCUAAAGAUCUAGCCAGUAUACAACUAUAUUAAUUAUUAAGCACUGAUAUUUGAAUACUUAAGGAGAACCUUUAACGUUACCUAAUUUUCUCUCUCUAACUUUCCUCUUCUCAAAGGAAAUCCAAAAACCCUAACCGCCCACCGCUUGCUCGCUGGUGGUCGCAGCCUUAACGGCCGCCGGCGAGCUUGCGUCUCAACGGUGUAGUAGUAUAAUUUAGGUGUAUUCGUAGGCUCGUAGCUAUUGGGGUCCUUCUCUGGCGACGAAGAAGAAGAGGUAGCAAGUUCUUUCAUCGGAGCUUCCACACCCUCUUAGUUCGCUUUUCUGUCGCUGGAUAAGAGUAAUUUCUGUUUCAAGUUCGCCCUCGCAAUUUCACCUUUGCCUUUGCUCGAAGUGGGGAGGAGUUCUUUCGGUGUGAGGUCUCAACCUUUGUGUCCUGCUCUAAGGCUUACCCGAGCGCCGCCGUUGAUAAUCUCAUCGGUAAAAGUGCCAUAGGUUUAUAAGGAUUCACCUCAACGGGUUAUGCCCAAGGUUCAGCACAAGUGGAAUGGAAAAUGUGGGAGUGCAAGGUGGCUCAAGCAAUCAAAGGCCAAUAAUUAAACUGUUGGCUACAUAUCCGAUUAAGGGUAUUGUGCAAGGCUUUGUAAGAGCUAGUAAAGCUCACUGUAGUAGCUUCGAAUGUGUAAGGGUUUUGUAAGGCACCGAAGCUUUUGUAAUGUUUUGUUGUACUUUCUGAACCUUUAAUUUUCAAUGUAUGUUUAGCCUAUGUUAAAAAUAAAAAAAAUAAAAAAAUAAUAAUAAUAAAACAUAAUAAUUGCUAAAGAGUUUAA